UGCAGGCAUGAUUGUAAGUUGCUUUGGAUAAAAGCAUCUGCUAAAUGUCUAUUA
rfam:Salmo salar isolate Sally breed double haploid chromosome ssa12, whole genome shotgun sequence.